GACGAACGCUGGCGGCGUGCUUAACACAUGCAAGUCGAACGGAAAGGCCCUGCUUUUGUGGGGUGCUCGAGUGGCGAACGGGUGAGUAACACGUGAGUAACCUGCCCUUGACUUUGGGAUGACUUCAGGAAACUGGGGCUAAUACCGGAUAGGAGCUCCUGCUGCAUGGUGGGGGUUGGAAAGUUUCGGCGGUUGGGGAUGGACUCGCGGCUUAUCAGCUUGUUGGUGGGGUAGUGGCUUACCAAGGCUUUGACGGGUAGCCGGCCUGAGAGGGUGACCGGCCACAUUGGGACUGAGAUACGGCCCAGACUCCUACGGGAGGCAGCAGUGGGGAAUAUUGCACAAUGGGCGGAAGCCUGAUGCAGCAACGCCGCGUGCGGGAUGACGGCCUUCGGGUUGUAAGCCGCUUUCGCCUGUGACGAAGCGUGAGUGACGGUAAUGGGUAAAGAAGCACCGGCUAACUACGUGCCAGCAGCCGCGGUGAUACGUAGGGUGCGAGCGUUGUCCGGAUUUAUUGGGCGUAAAGGGCUCGUAGGUGGUUGAUCGCGUCGGAAGUGUAAUCUUGGGGCUUAACCCUGAGCGUGCUUUCGAUACGGGUUGACUUGAGGAAGGUAGGGGAGAAUGGAAUUCCUGGUGGAGCGGUGGAAUGCGCAGAUAUCAGGAGGAACACCAGUGGCGAAGGCGGUUCUCUGGGCCUUUCCUGACGCUGAGGAGCGAAAGCGUGGGGAGCGAACAGGCUUAGAUACCCUGGUAGUCCACGCUGUAAACGGUGGGUACUAGGUGUGGGGUCCAUUCCACGGGUUCCGUGCCGUAGCUAACGCUUUAAGUACCCCGCCUGGGGAGUACGGCCGCAAGGCUAAAACUCAAAGGAAUUGACGGGGCCCCGCACAAGCGGCGGAGCAUGCGGAUUAAUUCGAUGCAACGCGUAGAACCUUACCUGGGUUUGACAUGGAUCGGGAGCGCUCAGAGAUGGGUGUGCCUCUUUUGGGGUCGGUUCACAGGUGGUGCAUGGCUGUCGUCAGCUCGUGUCGUGAGAUGUUGGGUUAAGUCCCGCGACGAGCGCAACCCUUGUUCACUGUUGCCAGCACGUUAUGGUGGGGACUCAGUGGAGACCGCCGGGGUCAACUCGGAGGAAGGUGGGGAUGACGUCAAGUCAUCAUGCCCCUUAUGUCCAGGGCUUCACGCAUGCUACAAUGGCUGGUACAGAGAGUGGCGAGCCUGUGAGGGUGAGCGAAUCUCGGAAAGCCGGUCUCAGUUCGGAUUGGGGUCUGCAACUCGACCUCAUGAAGUCGGAGUCGCUAGUAAUCGCAGAUCAGCAACGCUGCGGUGAAUACGUUCCCGGG
rnacentral:rRNA from 1 species